UCUCGGGAUGUUCGAUUCAAU
rnacentral:piRNA from 1 species